UGAGGAAUAUUGGUCAAUGGGCGAGAGCCUGAACCAGCCAAGUCGCGUGAGGGAAGACGGUCCUACGGAUUGUAAACCUCUUUGUCGGGGAGCAAUAAAGCGUACGCGUACGCAGAUGCGAGUACCCGAAGAAAAGACAUCGGCUAACUCCGUGCCAGCAGCCGCGGUAAUACGGAGGAUGCGAGCGUUAUCCGGAUUUAUUGGGUUUAAAGGGUGCGCAGGCGGAAAGUGCAAGUCAGCGGUCAAAACGACGGGGCUGCAACCCCGAUCCCGUCGUCCGUUGCCAAAGUCUGGUCAACAUUUGUCCUUUUCAUGAAGGUAGGUGAAGGCCGGAAGGAAAAGGUUAAUGUGGAAUGCGUGGUGUAGCGGUGAAAUGCAUAGAUAUCACGCAGAACUCCGAUUGCGAAGGCAGCAUACCGGCGCUCAACUGACGCUCAUGCACGAAAGCGUGGGUAUCGAACAGGAUUAGAUACC
rnacentral:rRNA from 1 species